AUACGUAGGUGACAAGCGUUAUCCGGAUUUACUGGGUGUAAAGGGCGUGUAGGCGGUUUAGCAAGUCAGAAGUGAAAUUCCCGGGCUUAACUUGGGCGCUGCUUCUGAAACUGCUUUACUUGAGUGCUGGAGAGGAUAGUGGAAUUCCUAGUGUAGCGGUAAAAUGCGCAGAUAUUAGGAGGAACACCGGUGGCGAAGGCGGCUAUCUGGACAGUAACUGACGCUGAGGCGCGAAAGCACGGGGAGCAAACAGGAUUAGAUACCCUGGUAGUCCGUGCCGUAAACGAUGAAUACUAGGUGUAGGGGGUAUCGACUCCCUCUGUGCCGCAGUUAACACAUUAAGUAUUCCACCUGGGGAGUACGGCCGCAAGGUUGAAACUCAAAUGAAUCGACGGGG
rnacentral:rRNA from 1 species